GACGAACGCUGGCGGCGUGCCUAAUACAUGCAAGUUGAGCGCUGAAGGUUGGUACUUGUACCGACUGGAUGAGCAGCGAACGGGUGAGUAACGCGUGGGGAAUCUGCCUUUGAGCGGGGGACAACAUUUGGAAACGAAUGCUAAUACCGCAUAAAAACUUUAAACACAAGUUUUAAGUUUGAAUGAUGAAAUAGCAUCACUCAAAGAUGAUCCCGCGUUGUAUUAGCUAGUUGGUGAGGUAAAGGCUCACCAAGGCGAUGAUACAUAGCCGACCUGAGAGAGUGAUCGGCCACAUUGGGACUGAGACACGGCCCAAACUCCUACGGGAGGCAGCAGUAGGGAAUCUUCGGCAAUGGACGAAAGUCUGACCGAGCAACGCCGCGUGAGUGAAGAAGGUUUUCGGAUCGUAAAACUCUGUUGGUAGAGAAGAACGUUGGUGAGAGUGGAAAGCUCAUCAAGUGACGGUAACUACCCAGAAAGGGACGGCUAACUACGUGCCAGCCGCCGCAGUAA
rnacentral:rRNA from 1 species